GUUAGUGGUUAGUCAAACUCGACAAGACAUCGCAUCUCGUGCCUACGUAUCUCAUCUGAACAUGAGAAUCAGAGUUGCCGUAGUUCGGCUACGGAGGGAAAAAGGACUCGAUUGCAACUAGGGCAAGAGAAAGGGAAAGUCUCGAUCGCAACGAGGGCGAGAGAAAGGAAAAGGCUCGAUCGCAACGAGGGCGAGAGAAAGGAUCGCAACGAGGGCGA
rnacentral:lncRNA from 1 species